UUGAACGCUGGCGGCAUGCUUUACACAUGCAAGUCGAACGGUAACAGGCCGCAAGGUGCUGACGAGUGGCGAACGGGUGAGUAAUGCAUCGGAACGUGCCCAGUCGUGGGGGAUAACUACUCGAAAGAGUAGCUAAUACCGCAUACGAUCUAUGGGUGAAAGCGGGGGACCGUAAGGCCUCGCGCGAUUGGAGCGGCCGAUGUCAGAUUAGGUAGUUGGUGGGGUAAAGGCUCACCAAGCCAACGAUCUGUAGCUGGUCUGAGAGGACGACCAGCCACACUGGGACUGAGACACGGCCCAGACUCCUACGGGAGGCAGCAGUGGGGAAUUUUGGACAAUGGGCGCAAGCCUGAUCCAGCAAUGCCGCGUGCAGGAAGAAGGCCUUCGGGUUGUAAACUGCUUUUGUACGGAACGAAACGGCUCUGGUUAAUACCCGGGGCUAAUGACGGUACCGUAAGAAUAAGCACCGGCUAACUACGUG
rnacentral:rRNA from 1 species